CUAGCUUGGAAGUUGCAGCUGAUGUUUCCAAGGAAAAGUAACAUUGUUUACUAGAAAAAUAAGUGCUACCUGCUACCUAGUUGAUGGUGUGAUGCCAGUUGCAGAAAAAUAAAUUUUCCUUUGAAUUGCAAUGAUGCCCCGGUAAAAUGUGUAAUAUGAUCUUCACUGUGAAAUGCUUAUUGAGACAUGUAUUCUUCAUUCAUGGAGAAACACUAUAUCUAUUUUUUAGUUUAU
rnacentral:misc_RNA from 1 species